rnacentral:lncRNA from 1 species
AAGGCUCUACAGAAGGUUGAAGUUUUCAUAAAAGCUACUUGGCUAAUUGUGCCAUAUAAUCUAGCAUGAACUCCAUAUUUACAGCUAUUAGGAAUGAUGUAUGGAGUCUUUGAGAAAUCCUCAAAUAAAAAACCCAGUAUUUUCUUUUUGUUCCCUAGCGGGAUGUCUUCUUCCACCCUGGAGGUGAACACACCCCCACUUUGAAGAUUACUGAUGUAGACUGUGGAUGAUUGUAUGCAUCAGCUGGGUAGAGGAAUAAUUUCAGGGAUGCGAGAAAGGUCUGCCUGUCAUCUCUAUGUCAAGGGACAAUCUCUACCAUGGCUGCCAUGUGUAUGGCCACAGAAUCCAAUCAAAGAGGCGACCUUCGAGAAACUUACCCAGAGUUGCAGUAUCAUUCACAAGGAUGACUGGGUAAAGGUAACCAACGUGAAAUUCUGAACUGUUAGUACACAAUUUCAAUUAUAAUACUGUUAAUAACAAUGGUAGCAGUUACACUAGAUACACGGAACAUGCUGGAAACUACUUGUGCUAUCUCUGGUCUUCACGACAUCUUUGCAAAGCUGUUGAAGCUGUUGCAUAUUCACCCCAUUUUACAUUUUAAUGUCAACUAAAUAGUUUGAAAUGAAGAGAUUAUAGUGAAUAAAUAGUGAUA